rnacentral:rRNA from 1 species
GACGAACGCUGGCGGCGUGCUUAACACAUGCAAGUCGAGCGGUAAGGCCCUUUCGGGGGUACACGAGCGGCGAACGGGUGAGUAACACGUGGGUGACCUGCCCUCAGCUCUGGGAUAAGCCUGGGAAACUGGGUCUAAUACUGGAUAUGACUCCACGGUGCAUGUCGUGGGGUGGAAAGCCUUGUGCGGCUGAGGAUGGGCCCGCGGCCUAUCAGCUUGUUGGUGGGGUGAUGGCCUACCAAGGCGACGACGGGUAGCCGGCCUGAGAGGCGACCGGCCACACUGGGACUGAGACACGGCCCAGACUCCUACGGGAGGCAGCAGUGGGGAAUCUUGCGCAAUGGGCGAAAGCCUGACGCAGCGACGCCGCGUGAGGGAUGACGGCCUCGG